rnacentral:rRNA from 1 species
AGGACGAACGCUGGCGGCGUGCCUAACACAUGCAAGUCGAGCGAAGAUUAUAGCAAUGUAAUCUUAGCGGCGGACGGGUGAGUAACGCGUGGGCAACCUACCUCUAACUGGGGGAUAACACAGGGAAACUUGUGCUAAUACCGCAUAACAUCAUGAAAUGACAUCAUUUUAUGAUCAAAGGAGCAAUCCGGUGAGGGAUGGGCCCGCGUCCAAUUAGCUAGUUGGUGGUGUAACGGACCACCAAGGCGACGAUUGGUAGCCGAACUGAGAGGCUGAUCGGCCACAUUGGGACUGAGACACGGCCCAGACUCCUACGGGAGGCAGCAGUGGGGAAUAGUGCGCAAUGGGGGAAACCCUGAACCGCAGCAACGCCGCGUGAAGGAUGAAGGUUUUCGGAUCGUAAACUUCUUUGAUGAGGGACGAAAGCAAUGACGGUACCUCAAAACAAGCCACGGCUAACUACGUGCCAGCCGCCGC